rnacentral:rRNA from 1 species
CACGUAGGGCGCGAGCGUUGUCCGGAAUUAUUGGGCGUAAAGAGCUCGUAGGCGGCCUGUUGCGUCCGCUGUGAAAGCCCGGGGCUUAACCCCGGGUCUGCAGUGGAUACGGGCAGGCUAGAGGUAGGUAGGGGAGAAUGGAAUUCCCGGUGUAGCGGUGAAAUGCGCAGAUAUCGGGAGGAACACCGGUGGCGAAGGCGGUUCUCUGGGCAUUUCCUGACGCUGAGGCGCGAAAGCGUGGGGAGCAAACGGG